rnacentral:rRNA from 1 species
GAUGAACGCUGGCGGCGUGCCUAAUACAUGCAAGUCGAGCGAACAGACGAGGAGCUUGCUCCUCUGACGUUAGCGGCGGACGGGUGAGUAACACGUGGAUAACCUACCUAUAAGACUGGGAUAACUUCGGGAAACCGGAGCUAAUACCGGAUAAUAUAUUGAACCGCAUGGUUCAAUAGUGAAAGACGGUUUUGCUGUCACUUAUAGAUGGAUCCGCGCCGCAUUAGCUAGUUGGUAAGGUAACGGCUUACCAAGGCGACGAUGCGUAGCCGACCUGAGAGAGUGAUCAGCCACACUGGAACUGAGACACGGUCCAGACUCCUACGGGAGGCGGCAGUAGGGAAUCUUCCGCAAUGGGCGAAAGCCUGACGGAGCAACGCCGCGUGGGUGAUGAAGGUCUUCGGAUCGUAAAACUCUGUUAUUAGGGAAGAACAAAUGUGUAAGUAACUAUGCACAUCUUGACGGUACCUAAUCAGAAAGCCACGGCUAACUACGUG